rnacentral:rRNA from 1 species
AUGGCCUCGGCGCUCUCCUCCCUCCGCUACGGCGACAGCCUCUCGGUGGUGGCCAUCUCGGGCGCCACGGCGGUGCUCUGCGAGGCCAUCUCCUGGCUCCUCAUCUACCGCACCGCCACCUACAACUCCCUCCGCGCCUCCAUCGAGCGCCACUCCCGCAAGCUCGACUCCAUGAAGUCCGUCUCCUCGGGCACCGGCGGCGCGGCCCCCUCCUCCCAGCCGGCCUCCUCGCGCGCCAAGAAGAUGGACCGCGUCGAGUCCAGCCUCAAGGACGCCUCGCGGGAGCUCUCCCUCGCCAAGCUCAAGUCCGGCGCCGUCGUCGCCGCCGUGCUCUUCGUCGUCUUCGGCCUCCUCAACUCGCUCUUCGAGGGCCGCGCCGUCGCCAAGCUGCCCUUCGCGCCCGUCCCGCUCGUGCAGCGCAUGAGCCACCGCGGCCUCCCCGGGAACGACCCCACCGACUGCGCCAUGGUCUUCCUCUACUUCCUCUGCUCCAUGAGCAUACGGACCAACCUCCAGAAGCUCCUCGGCUUCACGCCGCCCCGCGCCGCCGCCGGGGCCGGCGGUGGCCUCUUCGCCAUGCCCGAUCCCAAAACCAAUUGA